CAUGGCUCAGAACGUACGCUGGCGGCACGCUUAACACAUGCAAGUCGAACGAAGUAGCAAUACUUAGUGGCAGACGGGUGAGUAACAUGUGGGUAUCUGCCCUUUGGCCUGGAAUAACACGAGGAAACUUGUGCUAAUACCGGAUAAGUCUUUACAGAGAAAGCUUUAUGCACCAUUGGAUGAGCCCGCACUUGAUUAGUUUGUUGGUAGGGUAAUGGCCUACCAAGACUGUGAUCAAUAGCUGAUUUGAGAGGAUGAUCAGCCACAUUGGGACUGAGACACGGCCCAAACUCCUACGGGAGGCAGCAGUGGGGAAUCUUGCACAAUGGAGGAAACUCUGAUGCAGCGAUGCCGCGUGAGUGAAGAAGGCCCUUGGGUUGUAAAGCUCUUUCGUCGGGGAAGAAAAUGACUGUACCCGAAUAAGAAGGUCCGGCUAACUUCGUGCCAGCAGCCGCGGUAAUACGAAGGGACCUAGCGUAGUUCGGAAUUACUGGGCUUAAAGAGUUCGUAGGUGGUUGAAAAAGUUGGUGGUGAAAUCCCAGAGCUUAACUCUGGAACUGCCAUCAAAACUUUUCAGCUAGAGUAUGAUAGAGGAAAGCAGAAUUUCUAGUGUAGAGGUGAAAUUCGUAGAUAUUAGAAAGAAUACCAAUUGCGAAGGCAGCUUUCUGGAUCAUUACUGACACUGAGGAACGAAAGCAUGGGUAGCGAAGAGGAUUAGAUACCCUCGUAGUCCAUGCCGUAAACGAUGUGUGUUAGACGUUGGAAAUUUAUUUCAGUGU
rnacentral:rRNA from 1 species